UCCUGACACUCCCCUGGUGAGUUGAGUGAGAUAAAUAGCAGGAAACAAGGGCAUGACACAGGCCUCUAGCAGUGUGUGUGUCAUGUGAAUGUGUGUCAUACAACUCACAUCCAAGAAGGUCAUUCACAUAGAAGACUGGGAAUCAGCAUCCGUGGAACAAAGAGGAAGACAACUGCUGUGUGCUCUCUGGGAAGACGCAAAGGUGGCCCAGAUUCUCAAUGGAUUGACAAUGCUGUUCCUCGGGGUGACAGUGGCCCCUUUUAUUUCCACUGAAGUGAGGCUUCCCCCUCUGACUGGAAUUCGCUACCACCUGUGGGCACCUUUCCCUGUGAGUAUCAGUGAUGGUUCAUCUGCCUCCAAUCUCAGCUGUCUGCAGACACCUGCACCCUCUCCCUGGGAAUCCCGUGCAGUUCUCUCCGGAUCCUGA
rnacentral:lncRNA from 1 species